rnacentral:rRNA from 1 species
CCGCCCGUCACACCAUGGAAGCCAGCUGUACCGGAAGUCGGUGCGCCAACCCGCAAGGAGGUAGCCGCCUAUGGUAUGACUGGUGACUGGGUG